AUGUGGACGCUGUUGUUUUUGGGUGCCUUGAUGGGGGUGUCGGGGUCCCCGGCGACGCCCUCCGCUGCGGCUCAGCAGCUUCAGGCGCUCCACUGCCCCCCCUGCGAGCGGAUCCACUGCUCCACGCGGCGGGCGCUGAAGCUCCAGUGCGCGGGGGGGGUCACGACGGGUGUGUGCGGCUGCUGCCCCGUCUGCGCCAGGGCGGAGGGGGAGACCUGCGGGGGGACGUGGGACUAUCUGGGCAAGUGUGACGAGGGUCUGGUGUGCGUUUACGGGGACACGACAGCUGACCGAGCGCACGCGGAGCGCACAGGCACCUGCAGGGCAGUGAUCGAAUCGCUGGAUCCAGAGAGCUGUCACCCGGAGUGCACCAGGGAAUACUGCCAGGCCAACCCCUCGGAGAUCUGCUCCGCCAGGUCUGUUUCCCUGGAGAAGCGAGCGUGCCAGGGCUCCUGCCAGCACACCUCCUGUUCAAGCUGCCUGCUGCUGAAACCCCCACCCUGCCCCCAGAGCUGCACCGCCUCCCAUUCCCCCUGCUUGCAACGCUUUGGGAAGUGUGUGCACAAUCACCUGAGAGCCACACACAGCCCCGUAUGCCACAACAACCUGCAGACUGAUGGUGUGGGGCAUUUCCUGUGUUUGGUCCCAGCUUGUACAAACACAGCGUAG
ensembl:lncRNA